rnacentral:tRNA from 1 species
GGUGGCUCAGUAGUAGAGUGUUUGCCUUGCAUGCAUGAGGCUCUGGGUUCAUUUCUCAGCACCA